rnacentral:rRNA from 1 species
UACAGAGGUCUCAAGCGUUGUUCGGAUUCAUUGGGCGUAAAGGGCGCGUAGGCGGCGGGGUAAGUCGGGUGUGAAAUCUCAGAGCUCAACUCUGAAAUGGCACUUGAUACUGCUCUGCUAGAGGACUGGAGAGGAGAUUGGAAUUCACGGUGUAGCAGUGAAAUGCGCAGAUAUCAGGAGGAACACCGGUGGCGAAGGCGGAUCUCUGGGCCGAUACUGACGCUGAGGAGCGAAAGCGUGGGGAGCGAACAGG